UAAGGAAUAUUGCUCAAUGGGAGAAAUCCUGAAGCAGCAACGCCGCGUGGAGGAUGAAGGGUCUAUGACUUGUAAACUCCUGUAAAGAAGGAAAAAAUUCCCAUUUGAUGGGAGAUGAUGGUACUUCUGGAGUAAGCCCCGGCUAACUACGUGCCAGCAGCCGCGGUAAUACGUAGGGGGCAAGCGUUGACCGGAUUUACUGGGUGUAAAGGGUGCUCAGGCGGAUUUGUAAGUCAGAGGUGAAAUCUUACAGCUUAACUGUGAAACUGCCUUGGAUACUGCAAGCCUAGAGUAUGGAAGAGAGUGAUGGAAUAUCUGGUGUAGCAGUGAAAUGCGUAGAUAUCAGAUAGAACACCAAUGGCGAAGGCAGUCACUUGGUCCAUUACUGACGCUAAAGCACGAAAGCGUGGGUAGCAAACA
rnacentral:rRNA from 1 species